AUUGAACGCUGGCGGCAGGCCUAACACAUGCAAGUCGAACGAGUGGCGGACGGGUGAGUAAUGUCUGGGAAACUGCCUGAUGGAGGGGGAUAACUACUGGAAACGGUAGCUAAUACCGCAUACCAUCAGAUGUGCCCAGAUGGGAUUAGCUAGUGGGUGGGGUAACGGCUCACCUGGGCAACGAUCCCUAGCUGGUCUGAGAGGAUGACCAGCCCCCCUGGAACUUGGCCCCGCUCCAGACUCCUCCGGAAGGCAGCAUUGGGGAAUAUUGCCCAAUGGGCGCAAGCCUGAUGCAGCCAUGCCGCGUGUAUGAAGAAGGCCUUCGGUUUGUAAAGUACUUUCAGCGGGGAGGCGUUACCCGCAGAAGAAGCACCGGCUAACUCCGUGCCAGCAGCCGCGGUAAUAC
rnacentral:rRNA from 1 species